UGUCUGUCAACUUGGUAUCUGAGCACAGUUGUGAAGAAACAGAGAGUUCAAGGCAACUGGCUUUUUUUUUCUUGUCCCUGCCUCAGACAAAAUAAAAUAAGAGACUUCAGCAGCUGCAUGGAUUUUCAUGGCACAGGUGCAUCCUGACUGUGAAGCAGGCUUUCAGAGCCUCCACUGCACAGGGUGGAGUCUCGUUGUGGUUAGUGGAUUCCUGGGACAAAAGCACCUUUGUUUAUGAAACAAUUACUCAGCUCCUCCAGGUUGUUCAUGUGUUAAAAAAACAAGAGACAGCCUGUCAGUUAUCUGACUCAGAUUUUACUUGGGGUCCAGUUGCUGCCACCCAUGGAGCAUGUUCUCAAAUUGCAAGUCCCUCUUUAUGGCAUAGUUCCUUGUGCCACUAAAAAGGAUGCUUGAUAUUUCAGAGCAAAGAGAAAAAAUAUAAAACAGGAUGGUUCGUGCUGCUUAUUCUCAGUGGAGAUAGAGAUACAGAGGUAAACAAUUUUUCAGGGUCUCAAAAGCAACCAUCAGAGAACUUGGAGAAUCACUAGAAGAAAUAAGUCUUUACCUUUCUCCGGAGCAAGAAUUUCCUGCAACAUCAAAAAAUCUAAGGAGAAAAAAACAACUCAAAGCAUCAAACAUGGACUCUGAGCUUACACUGGAUGAAGAAAUAAGGCAGAUGAAAUCACUUCUAACUGAACCGGCGUGCUUUUGAGAAUCUUAGCCUCUGUUGAUGAAUCAAACUUGUAGCAGUUGGUCUGGGCCUUGGACAAGAUUUCAAGAAGAAAAGAGGCAGAGGAAAACAUUCCAUGAUGAAGACAGGACAACUGUGUAAGACUAUGAAAACCAAGAAAUAGAGUUCAAACUUUACAUUGCUGUAGACACCCUUAUCUGCAAAAUUACAAGAAGAUCUGAAGCAGCUGAAAAAAUCGGCAGCAUGUUCUCAUUUAUUUUGAAUCCAACUACACAUGAUGCCAAUUCCAGGAUCACAAAAGAGUUAGAAUUAUCAAAAUGCCACUAAGAGAUUUGAUAGAAGAGGAUUUUGUUGAAGGGACCCUUCUUUUAAA